rnacentral:lncRNA from 1 species
AAAAUCGAUUCCAGUCAUAACACAAAUACAUCAGAAAUUAUUCAAAAUAUUUAAAUUUUAUAGAAAAUUAAAAGUAUUUUUGCCUCUUCCGAUUUAUUCUAUAGAACGAAAAAUGGAUAGUCAGAGAAAGAAGUGGAAAUGACUUCGAUUAUUGUGGAUGCAGAGUCUUGCCAGUCGAAUGGGAGUGGCAAGGUUAAAGGGUUCAAAAUGGAGGAGGAGGAAAUUCUUGAGGGAGGAGAAGAGAAAAUAUGAAAUGAAAUGGGGUAUUAGUUAAGCUAUAAGAAAGAAAACCGAACAAAAUAGAGAAAAAC